AGUGAACGCUGGCGGUAGGCCUAACACAUGCAAGUCGAACGGCAGCACAGUAAGAGCUUGCUCUUACGGGUGGCGAGUGGCGGACGGGUGAGGAAUACAUCGGAAUCUACUUUUUCGUGGGGGAUAACGUAGGGAAACUUACGCUAAUACCGCAUACGACCUACGGGUGAAAGCAGGGGAUCUUCGGACCUUGCGCGAUUGAAUGAGCCGAUGUCGGAUUAGCUAGUUGGCGGGGUAAAGGCCCACCAAGGCGACGAUCCGUAGCUGGUCUGAGAGGAUGAUAAGCCAAACUGGAAAUGAGACACGGCCCAGACUCCUAGGGGGGGCAGAAGGGGGGAAUAUUGGAAAAGGGGGGAAAGCCUGAUCCAGCAAAACCGGGGGGGGGAAGAAGGCCUUCGGGUUGGAAAGCCCUUUUGUGGGGAAAAAAAAGCAGCAGGUUAAAACCCCGUGGUUUGGAGGGUACCAAAAAAAAAAGCACCGGCAAACUUGGG
rnacentral:rRNA from 1 species